GACGAACGCUGGCGGCGUGCCUAAUACAUGCAAGUCGAACGCAGUGGGGACGGGUGAGUAACACGUGGGUAACCUCCCAUCAGAGGGGAUAACACUUGGCAACAGGUGCUAAACCGAUACUGAUGGAUGGACCCGCGGUGCAUUAGCUAGUUGGUGGGGUAACGGCUCACCAAGGCCACGAUGCAUAGCCGGCCUGAGAGGGUGACCGGCCACACGGGGACUGAGACACGGCCCAGACUCCUACGGGAGGCAGCAGGAGGGAAUCUUGGGCAAUGGACGCAAGUCUGACCCAGCCACGCCGCGUGUAUGAAGAAGGUUUUCGGGUUGUAAAACUCUUUUGUUGGAGAAGCGGUAUCUAACCAGAAAGCCACGGCUAACUACGUGCCAGCAGCCGCGGUAAUUC
rnacentral:rRNA from 1 species